UUCCCACCCCUCUUUCUUCCCUCACUCUUUCCCUCCUUACUGUUGUGAGCCUGGUGGCCAAUGAGCUUCUCUAGAAGAUCAGAUGUCACUAUAACAGGAGGACUUAAUUGCCUGCUGGAGUUGGCAGAGCCUGCAGCCUGAUCCAUUCAGCAGAAAGCUCCUUGCUUCUCUCAGCUCCCCCUCUCAGAAACCUUCUGCCAAAAUGUCUGACACCGAAGAAGUGUAAGUAGAAACAGACGAAUAUGAAGAAGAAGAAGAACCACAGGAAGAAGAAGCUCAAGAAGAAGUUCAUGAACCAGG